rnacentral:rRNA from 1 species
UACGUAGGGUCCGAGCGUUGUCCGGAAUUAUUGGGCGUAAAGGGCUCGUAGGCGGUCUGUUGCGUCGACUGUGAAAACUCGGGGCUCAACUCCGAGCUUGCAGUCGAUACGGGCAGGCUAGAGUUCGGUAGGGGAGACUGGAAUUCCUGGUGUAGCGGUGAAAUGCGCAGAUAUCAGGAGGAACACCGGUGGCGAAGGCGGGUCUCCGGGCCGAUACUGACGCUGAGGAGCGAAAGCGUGGGGAGCGAACAGG